rnacentral:rRNA from 1 species
UACGAAGGGUGCAAACGUUGCUCGGAAUUAUUGGGCGUAAAGCGCACGUAGGCGGCUUAGCAAGUCGGAAGUGAAAUCCCACGGCUCAACCAUGGAAGUGCUUUCGAAACUGCUGAGCUUGAGUACUUAAGAGGAUCGCGGAAUUCCCGGUGUAGAGGUGAAAUUCGUAGAUAUCGGGGAGGAACACCAGUGGCGAAGGCGGCGUCUGGGGAAGAUAUGACGCUGAGGUGCGAAAAGCGUGGGGGAGCAAAACAGG